AGCUUCAGUGAAAAAGGAGGGGGAGAAGAAAGCUACCUCAGAGAACCCGCAUGAACACAAGCAUGAACGUGUUAAACGUGAAAAAGCUGUCUCUCAGACUAAGCCAGAGGAGAAAAUGAAACAACAAAAGACAACUCCCACUGAGAAGUCAGGUAAGAAUAAGUGAUUCUCUCCUGAUUUAUGGAGGGGGGGGGGAGUAUUAAACACUAUUCAGCAUUCAUCUAGUGUAGUAUAUUUGCAUUGCAAUAUUUUUUACAAUGUUUUGAAAUAAGUAACUGAUAACAAAGAAAAACCAGCAGAGAGGAAAUUGCAACUUCUGUUCUACUAAGAAUUGUCUUUCCAAUUAUGAAGACAGGUCAGGGCCUUUCAGCUCCUUAGCUUCUUGUUCCAGCCAUUAGCCAGAGCUGGAUUAAUGAAGUGAGGUGGAACUGUAAAUCAGACCUCUGAAAGGAUCCCAAAUAUGAGGAUAAAUUACCAGAUGGAUUAGGACUUUGGAUCAGUCCAAUGGAGAAAAUGUUUUUGGGACUAAACUCUAAAUCUUUGGGUUUUAUCUGUGACUAAGACUGUGUAGUUUUUUAAUGUAAUGUUGACAGGAAACAAAAGUCAAGUAACAAUGAGUGUUCUAGAAGCUGUGAAGAGUCAGCCAAGGAAUUAUAACAUUCUCAUCAUCACUGGCAGUCAACACAAAGCUGUCUAAACUUAUGGGGUUCGAAUGCUGUGCAUCCCUGCACAAGUAGGGGAAGAUAAGAACAAGUGAGAACUGACUCCAAUAUAAUGCUUGAAUGUUAAAAAGAAAGGGAAAAAACAGAGUUUUUUUUCUACUUUUUGUAUCUAACUAUUACAAUUUUAUCUCUUUUGUCUUCUGUAGCCCAGGCAAAACCACCAAGUAUGUUA